rnacentral:rRNA from 1 species
GGUUAAGCGACUAAGCGUACACGGUGGAUGCCCUGGCAGUCAGAGGCGAUGAAGGACGUGCUAAUCUGCGAUAAGCGUCGGUAAGGUGAUAUGAACCGUUAUAACCGGCGAUUUCCGAAUGGGGAAACCCAGUGUGUUUCGACACACUAUCAUUAACUGAAUCCAUAGGUUAAUGAGGCGAACCGGGGGAACUGAAACAUCUAAGUACCCCGAGGAAAAGAAAUCAACCGAGAUUCCCCCAGUAGCGGCGAGCGAACGGGGAGCAGCCCAGAGCCUGAAUCAGUGUGUGUGUUAGUGGAAGCGUCUGGAAAGGCGCGCGAUACAGGGUGACAGCCCCGUACACAAAAAUGCACAUACUGUGAGCUCGAUGAGUAGGGCGGGACACGUGGUAUCCUGUCUGAAUAUGGGGGGACCAUCCUCCAAGGCUAAAUACUCCUGACUGACCGAUAGUGAACCAGUACCGUGAGGGAAAGGCGAAAAGAACCCCGGCGAGGGGAGUGAAAAAGAACCUGAAACCGUGUACGUACAAGCAGUGGGAGCACAGAGCAAUCUGUGUGACUGCGUACCUUUUGUAUAAUGGGUCAGCGACUUAUAUUCUGUAGCAAGGUUAACCGAAUAGGGGAGCCGAAGGGAAACCGAGUCUUAACUGGGCGUUAAGUUGCAGGGUAUAGACCCGAAACCCGGUGAUCUAGCCAUGGGCAGGUUGAAGGUUGGGUAACACUAACUGGAGGACCGAACCGACUAAUGUUGAAAAAUUAGCGGAUGACUUGUGGCUGGGGGUGAAAGGCCAAUCAAACCGGGAGAUAGCUGGUUCUCCCCGAAAGCUAUUUAGGUAGCGCCUCGUGAAUUCAUCUCCGGGGGUAGAGCACUGUUUCGGCAAGGGGGUCAUCCCGACUUACCAACCCGAUGCAAACUGCGAAUACCGGAGAAUGUUAUCACGGGAGACACACGGCGGGUGCUAACGUCCGUCGUGAAGAGGGAAACAACCCAGACCGCCAGCUAAGGUCCCAAAGUCAUGGUUAAGUGGGAAACGAUGUGGGAAGGCCCAGACAGCCAGGAUGUUGGCUUAGAAGCAGCCAUCAUUUAAAGAAAGCGUAAUAGCUCACUGGUCGAGUCGGCCUGCGCGGAAGAUGUAACGGGGCUAAACCAUGCACCGAAGCUGCGGCAGCGACGCUUAUGCGUUGUUGGGUAGGGGAGCGUUCUGUAAGCCUGUGAAGGUGUGCUGUGAGGCAUGCUGGAGGUAUCAGAAGUGCGAAUGCUGACAUAAGUAACGAUAAAGCGGGUGAAAAGCCCGCUCGCCGGAAGACCAAGGGUUCCUGUCCAACGUUAAUCGGGGCAGGGUGAGUCGACCCCUAAGGCGAGGCCGAAAGGCGUAGUCGAUGGGAAACAGGUUAAUAUUCCUGUACUUGGUGUUACUGCGAAGGGGGGACGGAGAAGGCUAUGUUGGCCGGGCGACGGUUGUCCCGGUUUAAGCGUGUAGGCUGGUUUUCCAGGCAAAUCCGGAAAAUCAAGGCUGAGGCGUGAUGACGAGGCACUACGGUGCUGAAGCAACAAAUGCCCUGCUUCCAGGAAAAGCCUCUAAGCAUCAGGUAACAUCAAAUCGUACCCCAAACCGACACAGGUGGUCAGGUAGAGAAUACCAAGGCGCUUGAGAGAACUCGGGUGAAGGAACUAGGCAAAAUGGUGCCGUAACUUCGGGAGAAGGCACGCUGAUAUGUAGGUGAAGUCCCUCGCGGAUGGAGCUGAAAUCAGUCGAAGAUACCAGCUGGCUGCAACUGUUUAUUAAAAACACAGCACUGUGCAAACACGAAAGUGGACGUAUACGGUGUGACGCCUGCCCGGUGCCGGAAGGUUAAUUGAUGGGGUUAGCGGUAACGCGAAGCUCUUGAUCGAAGCCCCGGUAAACGGCGGCCGUAACUAUAACGGUCCUAAGGUAGCGAAAUUCCUUGUCGGGUAAGUUCCGACCUGCACGAAUGGCGUAAUGAUGGCCAGGCUGUCUCCACCCGAGACUCAGUGAAAUUGAACUCGCUGUGAAGAUGCAGUGUACCCGCGGCAAGACGGAAAGACCCCGUGAACCUUUACUAUAGCUUGACACUGAACAUUGAGCCUUGAUGUGUAGGAUAGGUGGGAGGCUUUGAAGUGUGGACGCCAGUCUGCAUGGAGCCGGCCUUGAAAUACCACCCUUUAAUGUUUGAUGUUCUAACGUUGGCCCCUGAUCGGGGUUGCGGACAGUGUCUGGUGGGUAGUUUGACUGGGGCGGUCUCCUCCUAAAGAGUAACGGAGGAGCACGAAGGUUGGCUAAUCCUGGUCGGACAUCAGGAGGUUAGUGCAAUGGCAUAAGCCAGCUUGACUGCGAGCGUGACGGCGCGAGCAGGUGCGAAAGCAGGUCAUAGUGAUCCGGUGGUUCUGAAUGGAAGGGCCAUCGCUCAACGGAUAAAAGGUACUCCGGGGAUAACAGGCUGAUACCGCCCAAGAGUUCAUAUCGACGGCGGUGUUUGGCACCUCGAUGUCGGCUCAUCACAUCCUGGGGCUGAAGUAGGUCCCAAGGGUAUGGCUGUUCGCCAUUUAAAGUGGUACGCGAGCUGGGUUUAGAACGUCGUGAGACAGUUCGGUCCCUAUCUGCCGUGGGCGCUGGAGAACUGAGGGGGGCUGCUCCUAGUACGAGAGGACCGGAGUGGACGCAUCACUGGUGUUCGGGUUGUCAUGCCAAUGGCACUGCCCGGUAGCUAAAUGCGGAAGAGAUAAGUGCUGAAAGCAUCUAAGCACGAAACUUGCCCCGAGAUGAGUUCUCCCUGACUCCUUGAGAGUCCUGAAGGAACGUUGAAGACGACGACGUUGAUAGGCCGGGUGUGUAAGCGCAGCGAUGCGUUGAGCUAACCGGUACUAAUGAACCGUGAGGCUUAACCUU